UUCAGGUGAAGAGUUAUUGGUUGAAUUCUGAUGGUUCCGACGUGGUUCUCCACAUGAUAGAUAACUUCCAGCUCUAGUUAUCUGCAGUUGGUGAUUCAAUGAUGGAGCACUACCGUUCGAGGAUUUGGAUCAAGUAUCUUGGAAAUCAGUUUCUUCUGGCUUUCUGUAAACCACUCCGGAAAUGUGUAUUGUGCUCUCAAUAUCUUUGCAGGACAAAUUUAUUAGAUAUAUCACAAUUUUGUGAUUCUGUGAAACUUGGAUAUUAUGUAAUUUAGAUUGGAGGAAUACCUUCUUAUACAAGUUCAUCAGGUUACGAUCAUCAAAUGGAAGAUAACCAGCGAGUAAUUCAAAAAGUAUUACUCCGCAGGACCAAACAUCGGCAGCCGCUCCCUCAUAGCCCUUAUUCAUAAGCAGCUGUUCACCAAAUCAUGAAGCAUUAACAAUGGAAUUGAAGGGACUUAGAGUAAGAACGUCGUUGUUAAAGAAAUAUUUUUGAGGUUAAACAACACUAUGACGGAGAAGAAAGUAUUGUAUUUACAAAAAAAAAAGGCACCAAUCAUGUCAAAGUACAAAUAAUUCCAUUCUUGUCAGCAGAGGCAAGAGGUUUUCCAAUGCCACUCCACGAACAACAUAGAACAAAAGCAGUGGUGAAAUGGCGACAGCUGCAACAAUGGUGGCUAGAGUUAGGGUUUGGAUGUUGUAUAUUCAACUAAGGUGUGUAUUGAUAUUUUUUUGUGGUCAUUUUGGUCAUUUUAGGUAAGGUCAUUAUUAUAAUAAAAAAUAACCAAUUAAUGGUGUGUCUUGAGACAAAAUGUGGUGUGUAAAUAGAGGCACUCGUACCAAUGAGACAACAAAAAUGUCUCACAUGAUUCAAAUGACAAGUUUCAUUAUAUUUGUCAAUGAUAGACAAGUGGAAGGUUCAGAUUGUAACUUUACUUAAAGUGUAAAUAGUUUACUGUUACAAUUGAAAGUGAAGGGAUUAAAGUGAGAUUUUGAUAAAAGAGUAGAAAUACUAAGUGUAAUUUACCCUAGAUAUUAUUCGAUAAGAGGUAUUAACUUUCAUUAGUAAUUUCCUUACAACAUAUAGACCAUAAAUAGUACAUAUUUUUUCAAGAAAAUUUGUUAUUCUAAAAAAAUAUAUAUCUGCACAUUUUAUUUUUAUGCUAAAAAAGUAAUUUACUUUUAGUAAUCAUCGACUUCAUGUUAAGUGAUAUUUU